AACAUGCAGUUCAUGUUUGUUCAUGUUGGUUUUGAUAGUAAAUAGUUUGCCUUCACAAAUUGUAAAUUUGCAGUCUUCAGUUAUGAUGGAACAAGUUCCGCAUCGAGGUGUUCGUCAUUUUGUUACACUGACUGACAAACUAUUUUU